ensembl:lncRNA
AUGUGGUGGUCAGAUGGUAUUUGUCCGUUUUCUGGAGCAUCAGACGGUCAGAUGGUGUUUGUCUGUGUUCUGCAGAUGAGCAUCAGAUGGUCAGAUGGUGUUUGUCUGUGUUCUGCAGACGAGCGUCAGACGGUCAGAUGGUGUUUGUCUGUGUUCUGGAGCAUCAGACGGUCAGAUGGUGUUUGUCUGUGUUCUGCAGACCAGCGUCAGACGGUCAGAUGGUGUUUGUCUGUUUUCUGGAGCAUCAGACGGUCAGAUGGUGUUUGUCUGUGUUCUGCAGACGAGCGUCAGACGGUCAGAUGGUGUUUGUCUGUGUUCUGCAGACGAGCGUCAGACGGUCAGAUGGUGUUUGUCUGUGUUCUGCAGACGAGCGUCAGACGGUCAGAUGGUGUUUGUCUGUGUUCUGGAGCAUCAGACGGUCAGAUGGUGUUUGUCUGUGUUCUGCAGACGAGCAUCAGAUGGUCAGAUGGUGUUUGUCUGUGUUCUGCAGACGAGCGUCAGACGGUCAGAUGGUGUUUGUCUGUGUUCUGGAGCAUCAGACGGUCAGAUGGUGUUUGUCUGUGUUCUGCAGACGAGCGUCAGACGGUCAGAUGGUGUUUGUCUGUGUUCUGGAGCAGCAGACGGUCAGAUGGUGUUUGUCUGUGUUCUGCAGACCAGCGUCAGACGGUCAGAUGGUGUUUGUCUGUGUUCUGGAGCAUCAGACGGUCAGAUGGUGUUUGUCUGUGUUCUGCAGACGAGCGUCAGACGGUCAGAUGGUGUUUGUCUGUGUUCUGCAGACGAGCGUCAGACGGUCAGAUGGUGUUUGUCUGUGUUCUGCAGACGAGCGUCAGACGGUCAGAUGGUGUUUGUCUGUGUUCUGGAGCAUCAGACGGUCAGAUGGUGUUUGUCUGUGUUCUGCAGACGAGCAUCAGAUGGUCAGAUGGUGUUUGUCUGUGUUCUGCAGACGAGCGUCAGACGGUCAGAUGGUGUUUGUCUGUGUUCUGGAGCAUCAGACGGUCAGAUGGUGUUUGUCUGUGUUCUGCAGACCAGCGUCAGACGGUCAGAUGGUGUUUGUCUGUUUUCUGGAGCAUCAGACGGUCAGAUGGUGUUUGUCUGUGUUCUGCAGACAAGCGUCAGACGGUCAGAUGGUGUUUGUCUGUGUUCUGGAGCAUCAGACGGUCAGAUGGUGUUUGUCUGUGUUCUGCAGACGAGCAUCAGACGUCAGAUGGUGUUUGUCUGUGUUCUGCAGACGAGCGUCAGACGGUCAGAUGGUGUUUGUCUGUGUUCUGCAGACGAGCGUCAGACGGUCAGAUGGUGUUUGUCUGUGUUCUGCAGACGAGCAUCAGACGUCAGAUGGUGUUUGUCUGUGUUCUGCAGAUGAGCGUCAGACGGUCAGAUGGUGUUUGUCUGUUUUCUGGAGCAUCAGACGGUCAGAUGGUUUUUGUCUGUGUUCUGCAGACGAGCGUCAGACGGUCAGAUGGUGUUUGUCUGUGUUCUGGAGCAUCAGACGGUCAGAUGGUGUUUGUCUGUGUUCUGCAGACGAGCAUCAGACGGUCAGAUGGUGUUUGUCUGUGUUCUGCAGAUGAGCAUCAGACGGUCAGAUGGUGUUUGUCUGUGUUCUGCAGACAAGCGUCAGACAGUCAGAUGGUGUUUGUCUGUGUUCUGCAGAUGAGCGUCAGACGGUCAGAUGGUGUUUGUCUGUUUUCUGGAGCAUCAGACGGUCAGAUGGUUUUUGUCUGUGUUCUGCAGACGAGCGUCAGACGGUCAGAUGGUGUUUGUCUGUGUUCUGGAGCAUCAGACGGUCAGAUGGUGUUUGUCUGUGUUCUGCAGACGAGCAUCAGACGGUCAGAUGGUGUUUGUCUGUGUUCUGCAGACGAGCUUCAGACGGUCAGAUGGUGUUUGUCUGUGUUCUGGAGCAUCAGACGGUCAGAUGGUGUUUGUCUGUGUUCUGCAGACGAGCGUCAGACGGUCAGAUGGUGUUUGUCUGUGUUCUGCAGACGAGCGUCAGACGGUCAGAUGGUGUUUGUCUGUCUUCUGCAGACGAGCGUCAGACGGUCAGAUGGUGUUUGUCUGUGUUCUGCAGACGAGCGUCAGACGGUCAGAUGGUGUUUGUCUGUGUUCUGCAGACGAGCGUCAGACGGUCAGAUGGUGUUUGUCUGUGUUCUGCAGACGAGCGUCAGACGGUCAGAUGGUGUUUGUCUGUGUUCUGGAGCAUCAGACGGUCAGAUGGUGUUUGUCUGUGUUCUGCAGACGAGCGUCAGAUGGUCAGAUGGUGUUUGUGUUCUGCAGACGAGCGUCAGAUGGUCAGAUGGUGUUUGUCUGUCUUCUGCAGACGAGCGUCAGACGGUCAGAUGGUGUUUGUCUGUGUUCUGCAGACGAGCGUCAGACGGUCAGAUGGUGUUUGUCUGUGUUCUGGAGCAUCAGACGGUCAGAUGGUGUUUGUCUGUGUUCUGCAGACAAGCGUCAGACGGUCAGAUGGUGUUUGUCUGUGUUCUGCAGACGAGCGUCAGACGGUCAGAUGGUGUUUGUCUGUGUUAUGCAGAUGAGCGUCAGACGGUCAGAUGGUGUUUGUCUGUGUUCUGCAGACGAGCGUCAGACGGUCAGAUGGUGUUUGUCUGUGUUCUGGAGCAUCAGACGGUCAGAUGGUGUUUGUCUGUGUUCUGCAGACGAGCAUCAGACGGUCAGAUGGUGUUUGUCUGUGUUCUGCAGACGAGCUUCAGACGGUCAGAUGGUGUUUGUCUGUGUUCUGGAGCAUCAGACGGUCAGAUGGUGUUUGUCUGUGUUCUGCAGACGAGCGUCAGACGGUCAGAUGGUGUUUGUCUGUGUUCUGCAGACGAGCGUCAGACGGUCAGAUGGUGUUUGUCUGUCUUCUGCAGACGAGCGUCAGACGGUCAGAUGGUGUUUGUCUGUGUUCUGCAGACGAGCGUCAGACGGUCAGAUGGUGUUUGUCUGUGUUCUGCAGACGAGCGUCAGACGGUCAGAUGGUGUUUGUCUGUGUUCUGCAGACGAGCGUCAGACGGUCAGAUGGUGUUUGUCUGUGUUCUGGAGCAUCAGACGGUCAGAUGGUGUUUGUCUGUGUUCUGCAGACGAGCGUCAGAUGGUCAGAUGGUGUUUGUGUUCUGCAGACGAGCGUCAGAUGGUCAGAUGGUGUUUGUCUGUCUUCUGCAGACGAGCGUCAGACGGUCAGAUGGUGUUUGUCUGUGUUCUGCAGACGAGCGUCAGACGGUCAGAUGGUGUUUGUCUGUGUUCUGGAGCAUCAGACGGUCAGAUGGUGUUUGUCUGUGUUCUGCAGACAAGCGUCAGACGGUCAGAUGGUGUUUGUCUGUGUUCUGCAGACGAGCGUCAGACGGUCAGAUGGUGUUUGUCUGUGUUAUGCAGAUGAGCGUCAGACGGUCAGAUGGUGUUUGUCUGUGUUCUGCAGACGAGCGUCAGACGGUCAGAUGGUGUUUGUCUGUGUUCUGGAGCAUCAGACGGUCAGAUGGUGUUUGA